ensembl:lncRNA
ACCUCAUUGGCUCCUCAAAAGACUGACAGCUUUGACAGGGUGUACCCCGCCUCUCGUCCUAUGACAGCUGGGAUAGGCUCCAGUGCCCCCCGCGACCCUGAAAAGGAUAAGCGGAAGCGAAUGGAUGGAUGGAUGUGUGGAAGGCCCUAGCUUGCUUCUUCCAGCGCCGCAGGGCAUGGAGCUAGCCGGCGGUGAGUUUCCAUCAAUUAGUGCACCCCUGCGGCCUCAUGGCAGAACCCACCUUUGACUGCAGAGAGAUAUUGAUUAGUUCAGCUGCACUGUCAGGUCUGGAGUGAGCAGGGCCGGGUGAUCCAAGGCCUUCACCGGAGACAAGAUCAUGUCGAGUUUCUGACACAUUAGAUGGGUGGCCUGUCCAGGGUAUACCCAGCCUCUGACCCUUUGACUGACUGCUAUUUGGCUUCACCCUACCUGUUGG